GAUGAACGCUGGCGGCGUGCCUAAUACAUGCAAGUCGAGCGAACAGACGAGGAGCUUGCUCCUCUGACGUUAGCGGCGGACGGGUGAGUAACACGUGGAUAACCUACCUAUAAAACUGGGAUAACUUCGGGAAACCGGAGCUAAUACCGGAUAAUAUAUUGAACCGCAUGGUUCAAUAGUGAAAGACGGUUUUGCUGUCACUUAUAGAUGGAUCCGCGCCGCAUUAGCUAGUUGGUAAGGUAACGGCUUACCAAGGCAACGAUGCGUAGCCGACCUGAGAGGGUGAUCGGCCACACUGGAACUGAGACACGGUCCAGGCUCCUACGGGAGGCAGCAGUAGGGAAUCUUCCGCAAUGGGCGAAAGCCUGACGGAGCAACGCCGCGUGAGUGAUGAAGGUCUUCGGAUCGUAAAACUCUGUUAUUAGGGAAGAACAAAUGUGUAAGUAACUAUGCACGUCUUGACGGUACCUAAUCAGAAAGCCACGGCUAACUACGUG
rnacentral:rRNA from 1 species